rnacentral:rRNA from 1 species
AGUGAACGCUGGCGGUAGGCCUAACACAUGCAAGUCGAACGGCAGCACAGGAGAGCUUGCUCUCUGGGUGGCGAGUGGCGGACGGGUGAGGAAUACAUCGGAAUCUACUCUGUCGUGGGGGAUAACGUAGGGAAACUUACGCUAAUACCGCAUACGACCUACGGGUGAAAGCAGGGGACAUUCGGGCCUUGCGCGAUUGAAUGAGCCGAUGUCGGAUUAGCUAGUUGGCGGGGUAAAGGCCCACCAAGGCGACGAUCCGUAGCUGGUCUGAGAGGAGGCUCAGCCACCCUGGAACUGAGACACGGUCCAGACUCCUACGGGAGGCAGCAGUGGGGAAUAUUGGACAAUGGGCGCAAGCCUGAUCCAGCCAUACCGCGCGGGUGAAGAAGGCCUUCGGGUUGUAAAGCCCUUUUGUUGGGAAAGAAAUCCAGCUGGCUAAUACCCGGUUGGGAUGACGGUACCCAAAGAAUAAGCACCGGCUAACUUCGUGCCAGCAGCCGCCGUAA